AUGGAAUACAACCCCGAAAUUCUCUGCUGGAAUGUGCGUGGCCUCAACAACCCGGCGAAGAGGAAGGCGGUGAAGGACUUUGUGGCCACGGUGGAAGUUAACUUAGUGUGCCUUCAGGAGACUAAAUUAGAUGUAAUGGAUCACUUUAUGAUAUUAGAAUGUCUAGGCCGGUCUUUUGACGGCUCCGUGUACUUGCCGGCGAUGAAGACCCGUGGAGGGAUUCUAUUGGCGUGGGACACCACUAUUCUUACGGUGGAUAACGUGCAGUUCGACACUAACUUUCUGACGGCAAGGGUACACGCCAAGGAUGGCUCGUCCUAG
rnacentral:rRNA from 1 species